UCGGGAAUUUUGGGCAAUGGGCGAAAGCCUGACCCAGCAACGCCGCGUGAGGGAUGAAGUAUUUCGGUAUGUAAACCUCGAAAGAAUGGGAAGAAUAAAUGACGGUACCAUUUAUAAGCUCCGGCUAACUACGUGCCAGCAGCCGCGGUAAUACGUAGGGAGCAAGCGUUGUUCGGAUUUACUGGGCGUAAAGGGCGCGUAGGCGGCGCGGUAAGUCACUUGUGAAAUCUCUGAGCUUAACUCAGAACGGCCAAGUGAUACUGCUGUGCUAGAGUGCGGAAGAGGCAACCGGAAUUCUUGGUGUAGCGGUGAAAUGCGUAGAUAUCAAGAGGAACACCUGAGACGAAGGCGGGUUGCUGGGCCGACACUGACGCUGAUGCGCGAAAACCAGGGGA
rnacentral:rRNA from 1 species